GGAAUACAUAGAGGGUCACAGACACUGAUGCCCACAUACUAGGGGCAGAUGUCUGUACAGAUUUCCACGGAAUUUUUAGUCAGAGUUGGGAAUGUGAAACAAGGCCAGGGUUUGUAAAUGGCAACAAAGAGGGAGAGACAGCGAAGUAUGCUGUAAAACGAAACUUCCAAGUUCGAAGAGCCUCUCUUCUCCUUCUACAAAGUAAGAGACCAGGCAAGUUGCUACAUCAACUUCCCAGGUCAGGUGAGGGGUCCCCCUUCUCUGCCAGGAUGGCACAACCACAGGCUGGGGAGGAAGGGCAGGGCCUCGCGGGAGGGAUCACUCACCAAGCGGCAGGACGAAGAAGAAGGGGAACCAGCAGAGCACGAAGACGCCCACGCACGAUGGCCAGCGUCUUGGCAGCCUUCUUCUCGCGGGGAGAACUUGAGGAGGCGCACUGAGAGCGAGCUGCGGAAGGUGUGGCCCUUGGUGCUCCGAGUUCCGCUGUGCGCCCGUGCCGGCACCGGUGGCUGCCUCAAGCGACAGUGGAUGCGCAGCACCACCUCCGAGGCCUUGCCCGCUCGCGCUUGAUGCCGGCCUCCAGGCUGCGCGUGGUGCUGCGCGCUACUAUGUACACGCGGCAGUACAUGACCACGAUGACCGCCAUGGGAAGGUAGAAGGAGCACAGCGAAGAGAAGACAGCGUAGCCGGCCUCCUCCGUGAUGCCACAGAAACGCUCAUCCAGGGGCACGGGCUCCUUCCAGCCCAGCAGCGGCCCCACCGACACCACGAGGGCCACGGCCCAGAGCAGCGCCAGGAUGGCGGCCGCUUGCGCUCAGUCAUGAUGGCCGGGUACUUGAGCGAGUGGCGAACGCCACGUGCACGUCCACGGAGAUGGUGCACAGGCUGAGGAUGGAGGCGGUGCAGCACAGCACGUCCACGGCUGCCCACACGUCGCAGAAGGCCCGACCGAAGGCCCAGAAGCCCAGGACCUCCAUGGUGGCAGAGAACGCAGCACGGUGGUGCUCAACAGCAGGUCGGCCACGGCCAGGUUCACAAUGAAAUAGUUGGUGACCGUCUGCAGGUGGCGGUUGCAGGCCACCGAGAGGAUGACAAGCAGAUUGCCCGCCACGGCGGUGAGGAUGAAGGCUGCCAGAAACACGCCCACGCCCACGCCCUGCGCGCUCACCACCAGCCCCCCGACGGCCGCCGUGCCGUUCACCUCGCCGCCCGCGCCCGCGGCCCCGGGUUCCCCGGCCGAGCUCCGGUUGUCCUCACUGCCGCCCGCGCCCACCACGCCGCCACCGCCGCCGCCUGCGGCCCUGGCACACCGCCCACCGCUGGGCCCUCCGAGGCCGCCGUGCCGCCCGCGCCGCUCCCGCCGCCGCCAGCCCCGGAGCCCCCGGCGCUGCCGUCCGGGCGGGGUCCCUCGAAAGUGACGCUGAGGAGGUCGCGGAAAGUCAUCUCAACGCGCAGCCGUCGGGGGCCGGGCCGGGGCGCAGGACGAGCGGCGGGCAGGGAGGGGGACAGUGGGCAUUGCUGCAGGGCUCUGGGUCCAGCCCCGCGCGCCAAUCCGUCGGGGUCUUUUCCAAGUUCUUGGGACGCGGAGCCGGCUGCCCGAGCACGGAGCUGCCAGGCCGGGCGGCCGGGGACCCUGGAGCCGGCUGAGCGCUGAACGGAAGAGCGGGGCCCCGGGCCGCGCGCCGCUCUGAGAGUUCCCGGGCGAGUGGGCAGAGCGGUGGCUCCGGGACCCGGCGGUGCCGGUCCAUUGAUCGAGGCACGGUCUCAGGCACCACUGCCCAGCGCGGUGGCGAGGAGAGAGCCCCGGAAGCGGCCAGAGACCAUGUGAGUGCAGCCCUCGGAUUCUACCCACCACACAGUGAUCGACAUAAUACCAACUUUUGCUCUGUUACUUUACUCCCUAUCAGAUGUCAGAAUAAAUCUUCUUACUGCUUCUCCAAAA
rnacentral:lncRNA from 1 species